rnacentral:rRNA from 1 species
GUCCGCACCGUAAACGAUGAUUACUCGUUGUUGGCAAUAUGAUCGUCAGCGACCAAGCGAAAGCGAUAAGUAAUCCACCUGGGGAGUACGCCGGCAACGGUGAAACUCAAAGGAAUUGACGGGGGGCCCGCACAAGCGGAGGAGCAUGUGGUUUAAUUCGAUGAUACGCGAGGAACCUUACCUGGGCUUGAAAGUUAGCGACCGGUCCUGAAAGGGAUCUUCCAGCAAUGGCGCGAAAACUAGGUGCUGCAUGGCUGUCGU